rfam:Trichobilharzia regenti genome assembly, scaffold: TRE_scaffold0015758
GUACUGCUGAGGAGUCCCAAACUAGGACGAAACAACCGUCCAGUAU